GUUGAAACACCAGUUCUUGUACGAUCAUUAAUGUUAAGCAACAUCAAGCCUGGUCAGUACCGAGAUGAGUCACCACUUGGGAAUACCAGGUGCUGUAA